AGAGUGAACGCUGGCGGCAGGCCUAACACAUGCAAGUCGAACGGCAGCACAGGGGAGCUUGCUCCCUGGGUGGCGAGUGGCGGACGGGUGAGGAAUACAUCGGAAUCUACCCAGUCGUGGGGGAUAACCUCGGGAAACCGGGACUAAUACCGCAUACGACCCACGGGUGAAAGCGGAGGACCGCAAGGCUUCGCGCGACUGGAUGAGCCGAUGUCGGAUUAGCUAGUUGGUGAGGUAAUGGCUCACCGAAGGCGACGAUCCGUAACGUGGUCUGAGAGGAUGAUCAGUACACACUGGAACUGAGACCACGGUCCAGACUCCGUAACGGGAGGCAGCAGGUAGGGGAAUAGUUACGGAACGAAGU
rnacentral:rRNA from 1 species